rnacentral:rRNA from 1 species
GGGCGGUGUGUGCGCAUUCUAGAGCUUGUUUCAUUUUUUGUUUCUUUAAUUAAUUACUGUCAAAUCCUUUUUCUUUAAGUUUUUUAUGUUUAGUUCCUCAGUUGAAAAGUAAAGUAGCUCAUUAGUCCCCAGUCUAUUGGCUGCACCUUGAUCUGGCGUUUAGGUUUAAUAUCCUUUUUGUUUACGUUCUUUAAGGUAAGCUGGCGACGAUGGUAUACAGGCUGUUUUCUAAGGCUGGUGAGGUUUCUCGUGGGUUAUCGAUUAGACAACAAGCUCCUCUAAAAAGGUUUAGAAAACCGCCAAGUUCUUUAAGUUUCAAUUAUUUAAUUAUACUACUCUGGUGUUUUUGAUUUUUGUGGAGGGGUAUAGUGGGGUA